GAUGAACGCUGACAGAAUGCUUAACACAUGCAAGUCUACUUGAAGCUAAUUUCGGUUAGUGGAUGGUGGCGGACGGGUGAGUAACGCGUAAAGAACUUGCCUCACAGAUUGGGACAACAUUUGGAAACGAAUGCUAAUACCGGAUAUUAUGAUACUUCUGCAUGGAAGAAUCAUGAAAGCUAUAUGCGCUGUGAGAGAGCUUUGCGUCCCAUUAGCUAGUUGGAGAGGUAACGGCUCACCAAGGCGAUGAUGGGUAGCCGGCCUGAGAGGGUGAACGGCCACAAGGGGACUGAGACACGGCCCUUACUCCUACGGGAGGCAGCAGUGGGGAAUAUUGGACAAUGGACCAAAAGUCUGAUCCAGCAAUUCUGUGUGCACGAUGAAGUUUUUCGGAAUGUAAAGUGCUUUCAGUUGGGAAGAAGCAAGUGACGGUACCAACAGAAGAAGCGACGGCUAAAUACGUGCCAGCAGCCGCGGUAAUACGUAUGUCGCAAGCGUUAUCCGGAUUUAUUGGGCGUAAAGCGCGUCUAGGUGGUUAUAUAAGUCUGAUGUGAAAAUGCGGGGCUCAACUCCGUAUUGCGUUGGAAACUGUAUGACUAGAGUACUGGAGAGGUAAGCGGAACUACAAGUGUAGAGGUGAAAUUCGUAGAUAUUUGUAGGAAUGCCGAUGGGGAAGCCAGCUUACUGGACAGAUACUGACGCUAAAGCGCGAAAGCGUGGGUAGCAAACAGG
rnacentral:rRNA from 1 species